rnacentral:rRNA from 1 species
UGGGGGAUAUUGCACAAUGGGCGAAAGCCUGAUGCAGCGACGCCGCGUGGGGGAUGAAGGCCUUCGGGUUGUAAACUUCUUUUGCUCUGAACAAGGCGCACCAUGGGGUGUGUUGAGUGUAGGGGUUGAUUAGCGCCGGCUAACUACGUGCCAGCAGCCGCGGUAAUACGUAGGGCGGGAGCGUUGUCCGGAAUUAUUGGUGGUAAAGGGCUUGUAGGUGGCUGGUUGCGUCUGUCGUGAAAGCUCAUGGCUUAACUGUGGGUUUGCGGUGGGUACGGGCUGGUUUGAGUGCAGUAGGGGAGGCUGGAAUUCCUGGUGUAGCGGUGGAAUGCGCAGAUAUCAGGAGGAAUACCGGUGGCGAAGGCGGGUCUCUGGGCUGUUACUGACACUGAGGAGCGAAAGCAUGGGAGCGAACAGG